rnacentral:rRNA from 1 species
GACGUAGGGUGCGAGCGUUGUCCGGAUUUAUUGGGCGUAAAGAGCUCGUAGGCGGUUCGUCGCGUCGGCUGUGAAAUCCCGAGGCUCAACCUCGGGUCUGCAGUCGAUACGGCGGCUGGAGUUCGGUGAGGGAGACGUGGAAUUCCUGGUGUAGCGGUGAAAUGCGCAGAUAUCAGGAGGAACACCGAUGGCGAAGGCAGCCCCUGGCCAAUACUGACGCUCAUGCACGAAGCGUGGGAGC